GCGCUGCUGCAUGCGCAGCGACAGCGGGCUCUUCAGUCUUGACCUCAACAGGCUGGUCUUGCAAACCGCAUUGUUGUGAACUUCUUACAUUACUAUAUACCAGGAGCUACUAGGUGCCAAGUUUACACCCCCAAGAUUAUUGUUAGGUUUCUCUCUGUCAAAAAAAAAACUUAUAUAUAUAGUUCAAAGUUCUCACUCCACCUAGCGAAAAACUUGGGUGCAGGAACACCAAGCAGAAAUGGAAAUGUCCUUGAACGAAUUUCAGAGAACUCCUGUUUGAAGCCCUUGACAGUUCGUUUCGUCGGCGACGUUCCUACCCCCAAGACGUUAGAUCUCCACUCCUGUCUUCUGUGCUAAAUGAGAUGGGCACUGUAUCGAUCCUGGGUCCUGCCAUCCAUACAGGCCACCUGCACACAAACAAUAAUACGGCUAAUCAUUCAACUGAGUAGAGGGUUGUAGCAACAUGAGAUCUUAGAGAGUGGGGUUCCUGAGCAAGACAUGUAUACAUAUUUGCAAUGGGUGCAAACUUCACUAAAACUGGUAAAAAAGUGGUGUCGAUAGACCAAAAGCAACUUGACAGCCAAAACAAUAACCAACAGGUAGUAUCGAUGUGUCUCAAUAUAUAUUGAGAUCUACUGCUCCAGUACCUGUCCAAACAAGCUACAUUAACUUAUUAAUUUAUCCUGGGAAAGAUUUCUCUGUAAAGACUGUAGUAUGUAUAUAUACUACUUGCCACAUAUAGCACAAACCAUCCACACUAUUCCCUGUUCUUCGGAAGAAGAAAAAAAGAACUACUCUUUGCAAAAAAGAAAUUGAGAAACGGAACUGCUCUUUGCAGAAAUCUGUCGGUCCUGUACUUGUCAGAACAAUAUUAACUUAUAAAUUUAUCCAAGGGAAGACUUCUCUAUGAACAGUAGAAUUUAUAAAUGUACUUUUUUGUAGAAUGUACUUGAGACGUAUAACUCAAUGAACAAACUAUUCCCUGUCCUACUGGAAAACAAAGCUACUAUUUGCAAUAUAUUAGUUUGGAGCAUACUCCACACUUAGUUUCUGAUGUCUAGAAUGUAUAAUAGAUCGAAGCAUACUUCACACAUACAAUUGAACAAUUU
rnacentral:lncRNA from 1 species